rnacentral:rRNA from 1 species
GACGAACGCUGGCGGCGUGCUUAACACAUGCAAGUCGAACGGAAAGGCCUUGCUUUUGUGGGGUGCUCGAGUGGCGAACGGGUGAGUAACACGUGAGUAACCUGCCCUUGACUUUGGGAUAACUUCAGGAAACUGGGGCUAAUACCGGAUAGGAGCUCCUGCUGCAUGGUGGGGGUUGGAAAGUUUCGGCGGUUGGGGAUGGACUCGCGGCUUAUCAGCUUGUUGGUGGGGUAGUGGCUUACCAAGGCUUUGACGGGUAGCCGGCCCGAGAGGGUGACCGGCCACAUUGGGACUGAAGUACGGCCCAGACUCCUACGGGAGGCAGCAGUGGGGAAUAUUGCACAAUGGGCGGAAGCCUGAUGCAGCAACGCCGCGUGCGGGAUGACGGCCUUCGGGUUGUAAACCGCUUUCGCCUGUGACGAAGCGUGAGUGACGGUAAUGAGUAAAGAAGCACCGGCUAACUACGUG